rnacentral:rRNA from 1 species
UUACCGAGUUUACAACUCCCAAACCCCUGUGAACAUACCUUAAUGUUGCCUCGGCGGAUCAGCCCGCGCCCCGUAAAACGGGACGGCCCGCCAGAGGACCCAAACUCUAAUGUUUCUUAUUGUAACUUCUGAGUAAAACAAACAAAUAAAUCAAAACUUUCAACAACGGAUCUCUUGGUUCUGGCAUCGAUGAAGAACGCAGCAAAAUGCGAUAAGUAAUGUGAAUUGCAGAAUUCAGUGAAUCAUCGAAUCUUUGAACGCACAUUGCGCCCGCUGGUAUUCCGGCGGGCAUGCCUGUUCGAGCGUCAUUUCAACCCUCAAGCCCCCGGGUUUGGUGUUGGGGAUCGGCUCUGCCUUCUGGCGGUGCCGCCCCCGAAAUACAUUGGCGGUCUCGCUGCAGCCUCCAUUGCGUAGUAGCUAACACCUCGCAACUGGAACGCGGCGCGGCCAUGCCGUAAAACCCCAACUUCUGAAUGUUGACCUCGGAUCAGGUAGGAAUACCCGCUGAACUUAAGC